CCUACGGGAGGCAGCAGUGAGGAAUAUUGGUCAAUGGGCGUGAGCCUGAACCAGCCAAGUAGCGUGCGGGAUGACGGCCCUAUGGGUUGUAAACCGCUUUUGCAGGGGAAUAAAGUGACGAACGUGUUCGUUUUUGCAUGUACCCUGAGAAUAAGGACCGGCUAAUUCCGUGCCAGCAGCCGCGGUAAU
rnacentral:rRNA from 1 species